AACGAACGCUGGCGGCAUGCCUAACACAUGCAAGUCGAACGAGAACUUCGGGUCUAGUGGCGCACGGGUGCGUAACGCGUGGGAACCUGCCCUUAGGUUCGGAAUAACUCCCCGAAAGGGGUGCUAAUACCGGAUAAUGUCUUCGGACCAAAGAUUUAUCGCCUUUGGAUGGGCCCGCGUUGGAUUCGCUAGUUGGUAGGGUAAAAGCCUACCAAGGCGACGAUCCAUAGCUGGUCUGAGAGGAGGAUCAGCCACACUUGGACUGAGACACGGCCCAGACUCCGACGGGAGGCAGCAGUGGGGAAUAUUGGACAAUGGGCGAAAGCCUGAUCCAGCAAUGCCGCGUGAGUGAUGAAGGCCUUAGGGUUGUAAAGCUCUUUUACCCGGGAUGAUAAUGACAGUACCGGGAGAAUAAGCUCCGGCUAACUCCGUG
rnacentral:rRNA from 1 species